rnacentral:rRNA from 5 species
GAGGUUAAGCGACUAAGCGUACACGGUGGAUGCCCUGGCAGUCAGAGGCGAUGAAGGACGUGCUAAUCUGCGAUAAGCGCCGGUAAGGUGAUAUGAACCGUUAUAACCGGCGAUUUCCGAAUGGGGAAACCCAGUGUGACUCGUCACACUAUCAUUAACUGAAUCCAUAGGUUAAUGAGGCGAACCGGGGGAACUGAAACAUCUAAGUACCCCGAGGAAAAGAAAUCAACCGAGAUUCCCCCAGUAGCGGCGAGCGAACGGGGAGGAGCCCAGAGCCUGAAUCAGCAUGUGUGUUAGUGGAAGCGUCUGGAAAGGCGCGCGAUACAGGGUGACAGCCCCGUACACAAAAGCGCAUGUGCUGUGAGCUCGAUGAGUAGGGCGGGACACGUGGUAUCCUGUCUGAAUAUGGGGGGACCAUCCUCCAAGGCUAAAUACUCCUGACUGACCGAUAGUGAACCAGUACCGUGAGGGAAAGGCGAAAAGAACCCCGGCGAGGGGAGUGAAAAAGAACCUGAAACCGUGUACGUACAAGCAGUGGGAGCACCCUUUGGGGUGUGACUGCGUACCUUUUGUAUAAUGGGUCAGCGACUUAUAUUCUGUAGCAAGGUUAACCGAAUAGGGGAGC